rnacentral:lncRNA from 1 species
GUUAAGAAACCAGAAAUUUCUACUUCAUCUAAAAUUUUUUUAAAAAAAAAUAUAAGCAAAGAAUGGUGUCCAGCUGAACCCCUAGCCCUGAAAAGGCAGACACCAGGAAGCCCGCAGGGCUCUCGGGCAGCCAGCUUGCUGGAUCAUGGAGCUCCAGGUUCAGCCAAAGGCCCUGUCUCGAAAAGCAAAGGUGGGGAGUGAUAAACAGACAGGCAACAGCAAACGUUGACCUUUCCAAGCACGCAUGUGCACAUGUACCUGAACAUACAUAAGCAUGCAUGCACUAAGCAUACUCAUACAAAGAUAUUUUGGUUAUAAUUUCCAUGUCAUUUUAUCAGGCAGUUCUGUAACUAUGCAUACUGGGUAUUUGACAUCAAUAUUGUCUCACUCUUCUUUUUUAUUGUAGUAAAAAUACAUGAUCUAAAAUUUACCAUUUUCACCAUUCUUAAGUGUACAAUUGUAUAGCAUUAUAUGUAUUUAGAGUGUCCUGUAACUAUUAUCACUAAAACCUUUUCAUCUUCCGGACCUGCCAAUCCACACCCAUUACACACUAACUCCUUAGUCCUUCCUAUCCUUUAUCUUCUGGCAAUGAUCAUACUUCUACUGUGUCUAUUAGCUUAACUAUUCUAAGAACCUCAUGUAACUGGACUCAUUAAUAUUUAUUACUUUGUGACUGACUUACUUCAUUUAGAAUAGUGUCUUCCAGGUCACCUAUAUUGUAUACAAUAGUUUUCUGUUUCUGUAAAAUGUAUAAAGAGUGAAGAUUUUCUGUGGGCUCAGUGUUUGGAAGUUUCAGUCCAUGUGUCACUGGCGCCAGUGGGAGGUGGCAAGACAGCACAAAGUAGCAGGAACAGUGACAGAGAGGUGCUCACCUAUGGUCUCGAUGCAGAAAGAAAAAGAGGAGAUCAGGACUCCAUCCUCCUGCUCAGGGAGACUUCACAUCUUGUUUUUCUGUCUUGUUUUCCUGUCAGGGGACUCUGGACUUGCAUCUGCUUUUGGGCUAUUGUGUAUUAUACUGCUGAGAGCACGGGUACAUAUAUGGGUCAUGUCUCUGUCUUCAUUUCUGCUGGCUGUGUCUUCAGGAGUGGAACUGCUAGCUUACUCAGUGCUUCUGUCAGUGUUUUGUUUUCUAAGACAUGUUUAUAUGCAUUAUUGUUUGCAUGUCUCUCCUGCCACUUGCCUUUUAAUUCCUUCCUUAAGGAAAUCAUUUUGCUAAGGUUGUCAGGAAAAUGUUUUUCUUUUCUUUUCUGUGCUCUGAAUUAAACUCUGGACAUUGUAUACGCUAGAAAUGUGCUCUACCAGUGAGCUCUUUCCAGUGCUGAGAAGUAGCUGUCAGUAUAAAUUUCAUGAGAUUUAUUGUCUAUAUGUGCUUUGUUGUUGUUAUUGAGACAGGGUCUUGUAGCCCAGGCAGGUUUUGAACAUCUUAAAUCGCUGAGAAUGACUCCACACCUCAUUGUUCUCCUAUGUGCAUGCCUUGAAUGCUUGUCGCAGCCACAGCGGAGUAUUGAGAGAUGUCCAGGCUGCUGAUAUGGGUCAGUGGAUAAAGGCAUCUGCCUCUGCCUGACAGUUGGAGUCUACCCUGCUGAGCCUGCAGUGGACUUGAGCUUGGCAAGGUAAACAACACACACAAAGAAGCUUUAACCAAAACCUGAAAAAUGGGCGCUUGAAAGAUACAUAUGGUGAUUAGUGGUUUUAGGAUAUAAGUAAGACUAUGUUGCACCUGAAAGAAAUUGUUUUGAAAGUGAGACCAACUCUGGAGUCAAUAAGCACAAAAUAACAAGAGGAAGAUGACCUGAGCAGCAGCAGGAGCUGAGUAAUUCAGAAGCACCACAGCUCAGGCGACACCCGGGAAGGAAGGAGACUGGACUCAUCACGGCCUGCCCUUCCGGGAAGGAAGGAGAGGCUGGACUCAUCACGGCCUGCCCUUCCGGGAAGGAAGGAGAGGCUGGACUCAUCACGGCCUGCCCUUCCGGGAAGGAAGGAGAGACUGGACUCAUCACGGCCUGCCCUUCCGGGAAGGAAGGAGAGGCUGGACUCAUCACGGCCUGCCCUUCCGGGAAGGAAGGAGAGACUGGACUCAUCACGGCCUGCCCUUCCGGGAAGGAAGGAGACUGGACUCAUCACGGCCUGCCCUUCCACUUUAUUGGUUUUUUGAAUGGUGAAUUAUAUCUAACAGUAUCUGACCUAUUAUUAAUACAUUCAUUUGAGGAUUUUUUCACACAGGUAAUCUCAUGUAAUCUUGAAUAAGAGCAAAAGAUGAUGGUUUGAGAAUGACUAGACUUUGAACCAAGAGAAUUGACAGUUUAAUACUUCUAGGGGGGUUUUAUUGUUGUUUUAAUUAAUUUAUCUAUUCAUUUUACAUUUUGAUUGCUAUUCCCCUUCCAGUCCCUCCUCCUCCAUCCCUCCCCCAUUCCCCUUCCUCUUCUCCUCUAAGAGGGUAGAACCCCCUGCCCCCCAAUUUUCUCUCCAUCCUGGCAUAUCAAGUCUCUGCCAGGGCUAGGCACAUCCUCUACCACUGAGGCCAGACAAGGCAGCCCAGUUAGGGAAUAUCAUGCAACAGCUUUAGGGACAACCUCCCUCCACUUGUUGGGGGAUCCACAUGAAGACUGAACUGCAUAUCUGCUACAUAUGUUCAAGGGGCCUAGGUCCAGCUCAUGGUUCUAGGUUCUCUUUGGAUGGUGGUUCAGUCUCUGAGAGCCCCCUAGGGUUCAGGUUAGUUGACUAUGUUGACCUUCCUAUGGAGUUCCUAUUCCCUUUAGGGCCCUCAGUUUUCCCCCCAACUCUUCUAUAGAUAGGAGUCCCUGAACUCCAUUCAAUGUUUGGCUGUGAGUCUCUGCAUCUGUUUUAGUCAGCUGAUGAGUGGAGCCUCUCAGAGGACAGUCAUGCUAGCCUCCUAUCUGCAAGCAUAACGAAGUAUCAAUAGUGUCAGGGAUUGGUAUUUGUCCAUGAGUGGGUCUCAAGUUGGGCCAGUCAGUUGGGCAUUCCCUCAGUCUCUGCUCUGUCUCCCACCCCUGCAUUUCUUAUAGAUGAGAUAAAUUUGGGGUCGAAAGUUUUGUGGGUGUCCCCAUUGUUACAAUGGGGUUCCUGACUGGCUACAGGAGGUGACCUUUUCAGGUUCCAUAUAACCACUGCUGAUUUGAGUUUUUCAGACAGGGUUUCUCUGACAGUCAUGGCUGUCUUGAAACUUGCUUUGUAGACCACGUUGUCCUUGAACUCAGAGAUCUGUCUCUGCCUCCAGAGUGCUUGGGUGAAAAGUAUGGACCACUGCAUCAGGCUAAUAAUUAUAGUUUUUAAACAGGGUGUUGCUGAGAAAGUUGUUUUAUAAUAUCUUAGAGCCUCAUACAAAUAACAUUGGAGGGCCAACCAGUCAGCGUAGUGCAUUGUUUCUCAACCUGUGUCAUAACCUCUUUGGAGGUUGAAUAACCCUUUCACAGGGGGGUUGCCUAAGACUAUCAGAACACAUAGAUAUUUACAUUACGGUUAAGAACAGUAGCAAACUUACAGGUAUGAAGUAGCAACAAAAAUAAUUUUAUGGUUAGAGGUCACCACAAUAUGAGGAAGUGUAUUAAAGUGUCUGGCAUUAGGAAGGAUGAGAAGCACUGGCUUAGUGGGUAAAGGUGUCUGUGCCAAGCUUGAUCUGAUUUUAAUCUCUAGAAUAACACGGUAAAAGGAGAGAACUCCAAAAAGUUGUCUUCUGACUUUGACAGUGCACUGUGGCACGUACAUGCACACACACACACACACACACACACACACACACACACACACACCCCUCAAUACACAAAUACAUGUAGUACUGAUUUUUCAGUGAAAAUUUUAGAUGAUACUAAUGGAAAUAAUGGGAUCCUUUUGAGGGUUUAUAGUAAGAACAAAACAAUAAUCUAAAAUGACCUAGAAGUUAUAGCUACAGAC